CACAAAACGGUGAAGCAAGGUGUCCAUCAGGUGCAAAGCACCGGACUCAAUCGGGAAUGGGGAAGGGUGGACCAAUUUGCGGCACCCGACGCCCCAGCCGCCCCCGCGACUGUAAGCGGUGAGCGCCCCCCAAAGGCCACUGGCUGCUGAACCGCAGGUUCAGCGCCGGGAAGGCGGGGGAAGCGCCCUGACCCGCAAGCCAGGAGACCGGCCUCGCAGCAAAAGAAACG
rnacentral:ncRNA from 2 species